GUCCUUCAUAGGGUUAGAGAUGGACAGUUCUAAACUAAUGGUCUGUAUUGCAGAGGUCUAUUCAUGUCCUUCAUAGGGUUAGAGCUGGACAGUUCUAAACUAAUGGUAGAGGCUCUGUAUUGCAGAGGUCUAUUCAUGUCCUUCAUAGGGUUAGAGAUGGACAGUUCUAAACUAAUGGUAGAGGCUCUGUAUUGCAGAGGUCUAUUCAUGUCCUUCAUAGGGUUAGAGAUGGACAGUUCUAAACUAAUGGUCUGUAUUGUAGAGGUCUAUUCAUGUCCUUCAUAGGGUUAGAGCUGGACAGUUCUAAA